rnacentral:rRNA from 1 species
UACAGAGGUCCCGAGCGUUGUUCGGAUUUAUUGGGCGUAAAGGGCGCGUAGGCGGCAAAGUAAGUUGGAUGUGAAAUCCUGGGGCUCAACCUCAGAAUUGCAUUCAAUACUGCUUAGCUAGAGAGUUGUAGAGGAGACUGGAAUUUACGGUGUAGCAGUGAAAUGCGUAGAUAUCGUAAGGAGCGCCAGUGGCGAAAGCGAGUCUCUGGGCAGCAUCUGACACUGAGGCACGAAGGCCAGGGGAGCAAACGGG